CUUGGUGUUCCUGACUGGCCGU
rnacentral:piRNA from 1 species